rnacentral:rRNA from 1 species
UAUUAUAUUUGAUGUUAAUUGAUUAUUAGGGUAUUAAUAGAAAGUUCUUGAAACCCAAAGAAUUUGGCGGUAUUUUAGUCUUUUCAGAGGAAUCUGUUCUGUAAUUGAUGUUACACGAUUAGUUUUACUUGAUUUUGUUAUCAGUUUAUAUAUCGCCGUCAUAAGAUUAUUUUUAUUUAAGAAUUAAAUUUUCUUUUCUUUUUAUUGUAUGAUAUGUCAGGUCAAGGUGUAGCUUAUGAUUAAGUGGAAAUGGAUUACAAUAAUUUUAGUUAUUAUGAAUAAUUAUUUUAAGUUAAUUUGAAGGUGGAUUUGAUUGUAAAUUUAUUUUAAUUGUUAUAUUGAUUGGAGCUCUAGAAUGUGUACAUAUCGCCCGUCGCUCUCGUUAAUUAAGGUGAG